rnacentral:rRNA from 1 species
GAUGAACGCUGGCGGUAUGCCUGACACAUGCAAGUCGUACGAGAGUUUUUAACUCUAGUGGCGGACGGGUGAGUAACACGUGAGAAUUUGCCUUUAGGAGGGGGAUAACAAUUGGAAACGAAUGCUAAUACCCCAUAUGCUUUUGAGUGAAACGGAUUUAUCCGCCUAGAGAGAAGCUCGCGGCUGAUUAGCUUGUUGGUAAGGUAAGAGCUUACCAAGGCGACGAUCAGUAUCUGGUUUGAGAGGACGAUCAGACACACUGGAACUGAGACACGGUCCAGACUCCUACGGGAGGCAGCAGUGGGGAAUUUUCCGCAAUGGGCGAAAGCCUGACGGAGCAAUACCGCGUGAGGGAAGACUGCCUAUGGGUUGUAAACCUCUUUUUCAGGGAGGAAUAAAUGACGUGUACCUGAAGAAUAAGCAUCGGCUAACUCCGUG